rnacentral:rRNA from 1 species
AUUGAACGCUGGCGGCAGGCUUAACACAUGCAAGUCGAGCGGAGAUGAGGUGCUUGCACCUUAUCUUAGCGGCGGACGGGUGAGUAAUGCUUAGGAAUCUGCCUAUUAGUGGGGGACAACAUUCCGAAAGGAAUGCUAAUACCGCAUACGUCCUACGGGAGAAAGCAGGGGAUCUUCGGACCUUGCGCUAAUAGAUGAGCCUAAGUCGGAUUAGCUAGUUGGUGGGGUAAAGGCCUACCAAGGCGACGAUCUGUAGCGGGUCUGAGAGGAUGAUCCGCCACACUGGGACUGAUACACGGCCCAGACUCCUACGGGAGGCAGCAGUGGGGAAUAUUGGACAAUGGGGGAAACCCUGAUCCAGCCAUGCCGCGUGUGUGAAGAAGGCCUUAUGGUUGUAAAGCACUUUAAGCGAGGAGGAGGCUACUGAGACUAAUACUCUUGGAUAGUGGACGUUACUCGCAGAAUAAGCACCGGCUAACUCUGUGCCAGCCGCCGCAGUAAAAC